CAGCAGCCGCGGUAAUACGGAGGGUGCAAGCGUUAAUUGGAAUUACUGGGCGUAAAGCGCACGCAGGCGGUCUGACAAGUCAGAUGUGAAAUCCCCGGGCUUAACCUGGGAACUGCAUUUGAAACUGUCAGGCUGGAGUCUUGUAGAGGGGGGUGGAAUUCCAGGUGUAGCGGUGAAAUGCGUAGAGAUCUGGAGGAAUACCGGUGGCGAAGGCGGCCCCCUGGACAAAGACUGACGCUCAGGUGCGAAAGCGUGGGGAGCAAACAGGAUUAGAUACCCGUGUAGUCCCUGUCUCUUAUAU
rnacentral:rRNA from 1 species